CCCUUAGAUGUUCUGGGCCGCACGCGCGCUACACUGAUGCAUUCAACGAGUUUCUUCCUGGUCCGAGAGGAAUGGGUAACCUUUUGAAAGUGCAUCGUGAUAGGGAUAGACUAUUGCAAUUAUUGGUCUUCAACGAGGAAUUCCUAGUAGACGUAGUUCAUCAGACUGCAUCGAUUACGUCCCUGCCCUUUGUACACACCGCCCGUCGCUCCUACCGAUUGAAUGUGCUGGUGAAAAGUUCGGAUUGGGAAUAGGAGACGGCAACGUAUCCUGUUUCUGAGAAAAUCUUUAAACCCUCCCAUUUAGAGGAAGGAGAAGUCGUAACA
rnacentral:rRNA from 1 species